rnacentral:rRNA from 1 species
GACGAACGCUGGCGGCGCGCUUAACACAUGCAAGUCGAACGGAAAGGCCUGCUUUCCCUUGUGGAUUGCGGGUACUCGAGUGGCGAACGGGUGAGUAACACGUGAGUGAUCUGCCCCCAACUUGGGUAUAAGCCUGGGAAACUGGGUCUAAUUCCCGAUAGGACUGCAGGGUGGUGCCUGUGUUGGAAAACGAUUUUCUAGUGGUUGGGGAUGAGCUCGCGGCCUAUCAGCUUGUUGGUGGGGUAAUGGCCUACCAAGGCGGCGACGGGUAGCCGGCCUGAGAGGGUGGACGGCCACAUUGGGACUGAGAUACGGCCCAGACUCCUACGGGAGGCAGCAGUGGGGAAUAAUGCACAAUGGGCGGAAGCCUGAUGCAGCGACGCCGCGUGGGGGAUGACGGCCUUGGGGUUGUAAACUCCUUUCGACCGCGAGGAAGCCACCUGGUUGGAAGGGUGGUGACGGUAGUGGUAGAAGAAGCACCGGCUAACUACGUG